rnacentral:rRNA from 1 species
GUAGGACCCAAGCGUUAUCCGGAAUUACUGGGCGUAAAGAGUUGCGUAGGUGGCAGAGUAAGUUGGUAGUGAAAUCCUGGGGCUCAACCCUUUAAACAUUAUCAAAACUGCUCAGCUAGAGGACGAGAGAGGUCACUGGAAUUUCUAGUGUAGGAGUGAAAUCCGUAGAUAUUAGAAGGAACACCGAUGGCGUAGGCAGGUGACUGGCUUGUUCCUGACACUAAGGCACGAAAGCGUGGGGAGCGAACGGGAUUAGAUACCCCGGUAGUCCACGCCGUAAACGAUGGAUGCUAGCAGUACAGCGUAUCGACCCGCUGUGUUGCGAAGCUAACGCGUUAAGCAUCCCGCCUGUGGAGUACGGCCGCAAGGCUA